GGCGAACGGGUGAGUAACACGUGGGUAACCUGCCCAUCAGAAGGGGAUAACACUUGGAAACAGGUGCUAAUACCGUAUAACAAUCGAAACCGCAUGGUUUUGAUUUGAAAGGCGCUUUCGGGUGUCGCUGAUGGAUGGACCCGCGGUGCAUUAGCUAGUUGGUGAGGUAACGGCUCACCAAGGCGACGAUGCAUAGCCGACCUGAGAGGGUGAUCGGCCACAUUGGGACUGAGACACGGCCCAAACUCCUACGGGAGGCAGCAGUAGGGAAUCUUCGGCAAUGGACGAAAGUCUGACCGAGCAACGCCGCGUGAGUGAAGAAGGUUUUCGGAUCGUAAAACUCUGUUGUUAGAGAAGAACAAGGAUGAGAGUAACUGUUCAUCCCUUGACGGUAUCUAACCAGAAAGCCACGGCUAACUACGUGCCAGCAGCCGCGGUAAUACGUAGGUGGCAAGCGUUGUCCGGAUUUAUUGGGCGUAAAGCGAGCGCAGGCGGUUUCUUAAGUCUGAUGUGAAAGCCCCCGGCUCAACCGGGGAGGGUCAUUGGAAACUGGGAGACUUGAGUGCAGAAGAGGAGAGUGGAAUUCCAUGUGUAGCGGUGAAAUGCGUAGAUAUAUGGAGGAACACCAGUGGCGAAGGCGGCUCUCUGGUCUGUAACUGACGCUGAGGCUCGAAAGCGUGGGGAGCAAACAGGAUUAGAUACCCUGGUAGUCCACGCCGUAAACGAUGAGUGCUAAGUGUUGGAGGGUUUCCGCCCUUCAGUGCUGCAGCUAACGCAUUAAGCACUCCGCCUGGGGAGUACGACCGCAAGGUUGAAACUCAAAGGAAUUGACGGGGGCCCGCACAAGCGGUGGAGCAUGUGGUUUAAUUCGAAGCAACGCGAAGAACCUUACCAGGUCUUGACAUCCUUUGACCACUCUAGAGAUAGAGCUUCCCCUUCGGGGGCAAAGUGACAGGUGGUGCAUGGUUGUCGUCAGCUCGUGUCGUGAGAUGUUGGGUUAAGUCCCGCAACGAGCGCAACCCUUAUUGUUAGUUGCCAUCAUUUAGUUGGGCACUCUAGCAAGACUGCCGGUGACAAACCGGAGGAAGGUGGGGAUGACGUCAAAUCAUCAUGCCCCUUAUGACCUGGGCUACACACGUGCUACAAUGGGAAGUACAACGAGUCGCAAAGUCGCGAGGCUAAGCUAAUCUCUUAAAGCUUCUCUCAGUUCGGAUUGUAGGCUGCAACUCGCCUACAUGAAGCCGGAAUCGCUAGUAAUCGCGGAUCAGCACGCCGCGGUGAAUACGUUCCCGGGCCUUGUACACACCGCCCGUCAC
rnacentral:rRNA from 1 species